rnacentral:lncRNA from 1 species
CUUUGUCAAAUAAAAAUUAUACAAUGAAUUGUAUGUAAAAUGUUUGCUCACAGGUGCAUAAGCUGGUGAUGGCUAGUUAAUAGUAAUUGACAAAUUACACACGCCGCAAGGUACUGGUACCUCGAGACACAAAAGGAAAAACUCACAACCCACUUAGGACAAGAAGAAAGCCCUAAUGUUUUCACUUGUUUCCUAGAUUCUGAAUCACCUCACUGUCAACGUCAAUGUAGGGAACAUGAGCAAUAUUUGGCCAAUCAACGGCUUGAUGAGAGUUGAUACGAGAUGCCAAGUGACCAAUGUCUACGAACAUAAAGGAGUCAAGUCCCCGGGGCAGAACACCCGCCGGCACGGAUUGUAUAUUGUGGCAAGCAUGUACAAUAAGCCGGCUCAUGGAGGAAAGCCCAGCUAGUGUGGCGGGAAUCUGCUCCAGUGCUCUGCAAUGCGCAAAAUAGAGUGACUCGAGAGAUGUCAGAUGCUGAAACCAUGUGUCCAUCUGCCCCUCUGAGAAGGCUUGGCGGUUGUCCAGGUCAUAGAUAAACAAGUCACGCAGUGAUGGAAGCCUUCCCAGCGUCUGGAUGUAAUUCCCUGUUAUUAAGCUCUUGUCAGUUGAUAGGCGAGCAAGGAGAUGUGCACAGUGCUCCUCCUCGUGCAGAUGCUCUUCCUCCUGAUCUCCGCAAAUCUCGCUUAAGAGUUCCGGACAGCUCAACACUUUGGCAGUCCUCAAGUUUGUGAAGCAUCG